CUGGAGGAGUGGAAGGAGAGUGUGUGUGUUGUGAUGAAAAUGAUGAUGUUACAUCAGGUUUCCUGGUUAACGUGAAAGGACUCAGUAUGUUCACAGCUGAUGUUGAGGAAAGAUGAGACAGACUUUCCUGAAU